rnacentral:rRNA from 1 species
GGGGGCCCGCAAGCGGUGGAGCAUGUGGUUUAAUUCGAUGCAACGCGAAGAACCUUACCUACUCUUGACAUCCAGAGAAUUUAGCAGAGAUGCUUUAGUGCCUUCGGGAACUCUGAGACAGGUGCUGCAUGGCUGUCGUCAGCUCGUGUUGUGAAAUGUUGGGUUAAGUCCCGCAACGAGCGCAACCCUUAUCCUUUGUUGCCAGCACGUAAUGGUGGGAACUCAAAGGAGACUGCCGGUGAUAAACCGGAGGAAGGUGGGGAUGACGUCAAGUCAUCAUGGCCCUUACGAGUAGGGCUACACACGUGCUACAAUGGCGCAUACAAAGAGAAGCGACCUCGCGAGAGCAAGCGGACCUCAUAAAGUGCGUCGUACUCCGGAUUGGAGUCUGCAACUCGACUCCAUGAAGUCGGAAUCGCUAGUAAUCGUAAAUCAGAAUGUUGCGGUGAAUACGUUCCCGGGCCUUGUACACACC